CAGCCGCCGCGGGAACACGGAGGGGGCUAGCGUUGUUCGGAAUUACUGGGCGUAAAGCGUACGUAGGCGGCUUUGUAAGUUAGAGGUGAAAGCCUGGUGCUCAACACCAGAACUGCCUUUAAGACUGCAUCGCUUGAACGUCGGAGAGGUGAGUGGAAUUCCGAGUGUAGAGGUGAAAUUCGUAGAUAUUCGGAAGAACACCAGUGGCGAAGGCGGCUUACUGGCUCAUUCUAGACGCUGAGGUGCGAAAGCGUGGGGAGCAAACAGGAUUAGAUACCCGCGUAGUCCCUGUCUCUUAUAU
rnacentral:rRNA from 1 species